AUGACGACCACAAAGGGGAAGAGGAGAGGCCGUGUUCCAUGUUCUCCAGGCCUUUUAGGAAACAUGGAGUUGUUCCUUUGGCCACAUACAUGCACAUUUACAAGAAAGGUGACAUUGUAGACAUCAAGGGAAUGGGUACUGUUCAAAAAGGAAUGCCCCAUAAAUGUUACCAUGGCAAAACUGGAAGAGUCUACAAUGUUACCCAGCAUGCUGUUGGCAUAGCUGUAAACAAGUCAGGAGCAAGAUUCUUGCCAAGAGAAUAAAUGUGUGUAUUGAGCAUAUUAAACACUCUAAGAGUCGAGACAGCUUCCUGAAACGGCUGAAGGAAAAUGAUCAGAAAGAAACCCAGGAGAAGGGUACCUGGGUUCAGCUUUAGCGCCAGCCCGCUCCACCCAGAGAAGCCCACUCGGUCAAAAUGGGAAGGAACUGAGCUGCUGGAGCCCAUUCCCUAGGAAUUCACGGAAUAA